CGUGUAGGCGGCCAAACAGGUCCGUUGUGAAAACUGGAGGCUCAACCUCCAGACGUCGACGGAAACCGUGUGGCUAGAGUCCGGAAGAGGAGAGUGGAAUUCCUGGUGUAGCGGUGAAAUGCGCAGAUAUCAGGAAGAACACCUAUGGCGAAGGCAGCUCUCUGGGACGGUACUGACGCUGAGACGCGAAAGCGUGGGGAGCGAACA
rnacentral:rRNA from 1 species